UUUCGUAAGGGGAACCUGCGGAAGGGUCAUUACGGUGAUUAUUUGUUUCACAAUGGGUGAGCGCACACAACACACAAACAAGUAUAAUAGUUCAGGAGUUUUUAUAUUAACACAAAACUUUCAACAACGGAUCUCUUGGUUCUCGCAUCGAUGAAAAGCGCAGCGAAAUGCGAUACCUAGUGUGAAUUGCAGCCAUCGUGAAUCAUCGAGUUCUUGAACGCACAUUGCGCCCGUCGGCAUUCCGGCGGGCAUGCCUGUCUGAGCGUCGUUUCCUUCUUGCAAGACGAGAGUUGCGCAAAGCUGGCCCGGCCACGGCCCCGCCAAAAAGAAAAGAGGCCACAAGCGAAAUAAAACAGGACGCUGGGGGUCUCCAAGCACAUACGAGCUCGACCUCAAAUCGAGAGUAGGAAUACCCGCUAAACUUAAGCAUAUCAAUAAGCGGGAGAA
rnacentral:rRNA from 1 species